ensembl:snRNA U6 U6 spliceosomal RNA
GUGCUCACUUCAGCCACACAUACUGGAUUGGAACAAUACAGAGAAGAUUAGCAUGGCCCCUGUGCAAGGAUGACAUACAAAUUCUUGGAGCAUUCCAUAUUGAA